AGUCCACGACGGGCCGGCGUUCGACCCGUGCGGCUCCCCGGGCGGCGGAGACGCUGGCCUGGUGCCAUCGGUGGCGCUAACGCCUGACGCAUUGGCUCCUGCUUCACGGAGCCGUCGAGAUCCGGAGACCUUUAUAAUGCGAACCGCACGUGGAACUGCUUGUUCUGACCUCUCCCCAAACCCUCGUUUUCAGGAUCCAGCCCAGUUUUCCUGCAGGCAGCUUCCUGGCAGUGCUGCAGGUGAAGGCGAUGGUGGAGAUGCAGAAAUGAACAACUGGGAGCUUUGGAUGGACUGGCUGCAAUAGUGAGCGAAGAACAGCAGUGAAGACAUUUUACCCAAUAUCUCUCUCUAGUGCUCUGAGUACCUUGCAGACUUGACCAGGAAUGCUUUGAGCAGAGGGAACUCCGGAUAUGGAGAUGGAAAUACCUGUUGUGAAUACUAGUUAUGACACUUACUAUCCAUGACCUUGGGCAAGCUACCUAAUAGCAGUUGGUAUUUGUUAUCCUACCUGUAAUGAGGCAAGAGGUCUGCCUUCCUUGUUUAUGUAGUUGUUGUGAGAAUUAAAUGAAAUAAUGUUUCAGUGCCUAUGGCACAUAGACACUAAAUAAAUAUUUUGUUUUUUCUUUGGUUGAACCAAACUUGUCUACUCAUUGCUUCUGAAAUCACUUGUUUGUUUUAUGAUUUUA